rnacentral:lncRNA from 1 species
CUGUUUGAUAGUCUGUUGAUUAGGUUUUACAGAAGUUAGAAUAUGGAAGCAUAAUUUGGUAUAAUCCACAAUAUGACGUCUGGAUUAAAACCAUAGAGCGUGUACACCGCAAAUUUUUAAGAUAUAUCGCUCAACGGCGGCAAUAAUGGCACAUCUCAAAAAUUGCCAAAAUCGGACUAAACACUAUAUUAAAACUUAAAAUUAAUAUUCUUUAUUUUGCCAAGACCGGCAUAAAAUUAAUAUUUUAGUUUUCCGCCAGAUGGCAGAAGGGUCACUAAAGCAUCAUCUUAAAUCAUGCCUCCUAUAGCCACGGCAACAGUAGCACAAUAUUAGUAUUCCAUAUACCUUGCUAGGGAAUCUAUCCGUUAGCGGGCAAUAGUGACACUUUUCUUGUUGUGCUUGUAUAGUGCAAAAUUAUUAAUUUUAUUUUAUAUUUGUGUUAAUGCAAUAGUGACACAUUUUGAAUUAUGCCAAUAUAGACCAUACACCUUAUUUAAUAAACAAGUAAAUAAUUCUGUUGGUUUUGUAUUUUAUUUCGUCUCUGCUGAAACAAUAGUGUUUAAUAUGAGCAAUUUUGAAGGCACCCGAGGCAAGAAAAUGUUAUCACUAGUAGGAGUCAGGUAAAUUUUUAAAAAUUAUUUUUUUAUUUAUAUUUUCCAAUAAUGAAAUUUUAGGUUGGAGAAAGUUAGUGACAAUGUAGGCGAUUCUCAAUGGAAAGUGUGUAAUGCAAGUUCAGCUGUGAAUUUCGAUAUUGACUAUGAGAUUUAUGACUUUGAAACUUCAGACAAUUACACCUUAGAGCAGCCCUCGGAGCAGCCGAUGAUCAUAGAUUACUUCGAAAAUGAACAGAUAGCACAAAAGAUUGAGGUAUCGUCAUCAACAGAAAAAAUACUGUGUGAAGAACCGGAUCCGGAAAUAUCUAAUACAGUUUUCACAGACCUCACUAACUUAAAUUCUGAAGGUUUAGGUUUUUUACCCGAUGGCGAUGAACACCUGCAGAAUAGGAAAGUAUUAAAGAUCCUCUCACAGUCCAGUUAUACUUCUGAUCCAAAAGAAUCAUCGGACUGUUCACUUAAGGAUCCGGAUUAUAGGGAUGAUUCUUCCUCUACGUCUUCUAGAUCAUCGUCAUCAGAAGAUUCAUCAUCUUCUGGCUCAUCAGAAAGCGAAACCAACUGAAUGGAAAAAAGCGUGUGCUAAGCGGUUAAGAAAUUGCGGUCAGCCCUAUAAAACUCUUGGUAAAGGAAUGGAGGUGCCAAGGAGGCAAAUAAAGCCAGCUUGUAAUGACACAUGCUCCCACAAAUGCAGCAACAAGUUUAACGAGGAAGAAAGAAUGACAAUCUUUAAUGCCUAUUGGGAAAUAAAAGAUAUCAUUAAACAGCGCAUGUAUAUAUCAACCCUUAUACAAGAGAUUAAUCCUAAAUAUAGGUAUACCCAUGAUGGUAAUGGCAGGACGACCAACCACGCAUUUUAUUUUCUUAAAGACGAUACUAAAAUAAGAUUAUGCAAGCAGUUUUUUAUAGCUACUCUGGGCAUUACUAGCCGCUGCAUACGUACGGUAAAGACUAAAAUAAAGAACGGUACUUUAGGAGACGAUAAUAGAGGGAAACAUGCUAAUCAUAAAGGGGUUUCUGCAGAGAUUAAAAAUAGUGUGCGCUCCCAUAUUUCUUCUUCAUGUCUAGGAGCUGUUCAGCUCUUUUUCUAGAAGUGGUUAUAAACUUUUUUGCCUGUCUUAGUCCUGGUGCUCUUCUCCAGUGCGACAGCAAUUGUUCUUUUCCCCACCUGUUUAGGUCUUCGGUGAUGUGGGUCUUCAUUAAACCACAGUAUGGCUCUGGACCAUAGUAUGGUGUUUGAGCCCCUUUUUUUGCAAGGCGAUCGGCUUCUUCGUUCCCCUCUAUACCCCGGUGGCCAGGUAGCCACAUUAGUGUUACUUGAUUCUUUGUUGUAAGGCGCUUUAGGGUUUGUUUGCACUCCCAGACUAGCUUUGAAUCACAUUUAAAAGCUUUCAGGGCCUUUAGAGCAGCUUGGCUGUCUGAUAGUAUAAAUAUGUGUUUUCUUUGGAGGCCUUGGUUGAUGCACUCUUCUGCACAUAUGUCUAUGGCAAGCACUUCAGCUUGAAAGAUGUUAGGGUAUUUGCCCAGUGACUUUGAGAUCUUAAUGUUAGGGCCUGACACGCCCAGUCCUGCUCCUUCUGUUAGUUUGGAACCGUCUGUGUACCAUAGCGAUGCAUUGUCGGCUUUUGGUACUUCUUUUUUCUCCCAUGAUUGGCGA